rnacentral:rRNA from 1 species
AGAGUUUGAUCAUGGCUCAGAUUGAACGCUGGCGGCGUGCCUAACACAUGCAAGUCGAGCGGUAACAGGUGUAGCAAUACAUGCUGACGAGCGGCGAACGGGUGAGUAAUGCUUCGGAAUCUACCCAAUGGGGGGAAUAACCAGCCGAAAGGUUGGCUAAUACCGCAUACGUCCUACGGGAGAAAGCAGGGAUCGUAAGACCUUGCGCCAAUGGAUGAGCCGAAGUCGGAUUAGCUAGUUGGAGAACGGCCUACCAAGGCGACGAUCCGUAGCUGGUCUGAGAGGAGACCAGCCACACUGGGACUGAGACACGGCCCAGACUCCUACGGGAGGCAGCAGUGGGGAAUAUUGGACAAUGGGGGAAACCCUGAUCCAGCGACGCCGCGUGUGUGAAGAAGGCCUGCGGGUUGUAAAGCACUUUUAGUGGGGAUGAAAAGUGCAGAGCUAAUACCUCUGCAUCUUGACCUAACCCACAGAAAAAGCACCGGCUAACUCUGUGCCAGCAGCCGCGGUAAUACAGAGGGUGCAAGCGUUAAUNNGAAUUACUGGGCGUAAAGCGUGCGUAGACGGUUACAUAAGUCGGGUGUGAAAGCCCCGGGCUCAACCUGGGAAUUGCAUUCGAGACUGCGUAGCUAGGGUGCGGAAGAGGGAAGCGGAAUUUCCGGUGUAGCGGUGAAAUGCGUAGAUAUCGGAAGGAACACUAGUGGCGAAAGCGGCUUCCUGGUCCAGCCCGACGUUCAGGCACGAAAGCGUGGGGAGCAAACAGGAUUAGAUACCCCCGUAGUCC